rnacentral:piRNA from 1 species
UCAAAAGACCUAAUUAUUGAAGUUGUCGAUA